AUAUCAAUAAGCGGAGGAAAAGAAACCAACAGGGAUUGCCCCAGUAACGGCGAGUGAAGCGGCAACAGCUCAAAUUUGAAAUCUGGCCCCUCGGGCCCGAGUUGUAAUUUGUAGAGGAUGCUUUUGGCAAGGUGCCGCCCGAGUUCCCUGGAACGGGACGCCGCAGAGGGUGAGAGCCCCGUCUGGCUGGCCACCGAGCCUCUGUAAAGCUCCUUCGACGAGUCGAGUAGUUUGGGAAUGCUGCUCAAAAUGGGAGGUAUAUGUCUUCUAAAGCUAAAUAUUGGCCAGAGACCGAUAGCGCACAAGUAGAGUGAUCGAAAGAUGAAAAGCACUUUGAAAAGAGGGUUAAACAGUACGUGAAAUUGUUGAAAGGGAAGCGCUCAUGACCAGACUUGGGCUUGGCGAAUCAUCCGGCGUUCUCGCCGGUGCACUUCGCCUCGCUCAGGCCAGCAUCAGUUCGCGCCGGGGGACAAAAGCUUCGGGAAUGUGGCUCCUCCGGGAGUGUUAUAGCCCGUUGCAUAAUACCCUGGUGCGGACUGAGGUUCGCGCAUCUGCAAGGAUGCUGGCGUAAUGGUCAUCAGCGACCCGUCUUGAAACACGGACCAAGGAGUCGUCUUCGUAUGCGAGUGUUCGGGUGUCAAACCCCUACGCGUAAUGAAAGUGAACGCAGGUGAGAGCUUCGGCGCAUCAUCGACCGAUCCUGAUGUUCUCGGAUGGAUUUGAGUAAGAGCAUACGGGGCCGGACCCGAAAGAAGGUGAACUAUGCCUGUAUAGGGUGAAGCCAGAGGAAACUCUGGUGGAGGCUCGCAGCGGUUCUGACGUGCAAAUCGAUCGUCAAAUAUGGGCAUGGGGGCGAAAGACUAAUC
rnacentral:rRNA from 1 species